UAAAUAUUAAAGAAAUUUAGAUUUAAUUAUUAAUUUAAGUAUAAACUAAAUAUGUGCCAGCAGUUGCGGUUAAACAUAAUAUACAAGUAAAAUAGUUUGGUUAUUAGUAUAUAAAUAUAAUUUAUAAUUUAAUUUUUUUUUAAAAAGUAAAAUUUAAUUAAAUAUUAUUAUUAUAAUUAUUUUAUUCUAUUAAAUUUUAUUUAAAACUAGGAUUAGAUACCCUAUUAUAAAAAUUUAAAUUAAUUUACUAAAAAAUUAAUAGUUAAGUUCUUUAAAUUUAAAAAAUUUGGCGGUAUUUUAGUCUUAUUAGAGGAACCUGUUUAUUAAUUGAUAAUCCACGAUUAAUUUUACUUAUUUUAAUUAAUUCAUAUAUCGCUGUCAUGAAUAUAUUUAAAAAUUUAUUUUCUUUUUUUAUUUUUAUAAUUUAUGUUAAGUCAAGAUGUGGUUUAUAAAUAAGAAUAUAAUGGGUUACAAUAAAUUUAAUUUUUGGAUUUUAAAUGAAAAUUAAAAUGAAAUUGGAUUUAAUAGUAAAUUUAUUUAUUUAAUUAAUAUGAAUAAAGAUCUAAAAUAUGUACAUAUUGCCCGUCAUUCUUAUUAAAAAUAAGACAAGUCGUAACAAAGUAAAUGUACUGGAAAGUGUAUUUAGAAAG
rnacentral:rRNA from 1 species